rnacentral:misc_RNA from 1 species
AAUAUGCAGAGAAAUUGAUUGCAACCAGUUUUGCAGUUCUCAUACAUAUGGAGAGCUGAAAGACCAAUAGGAAACUUUUGCCAAGAUUGUGACAUAUUCAAUGCUCUUACAUUCAUAUAGUAUCAUCUGGUAUUGUUAUAUUAGUGCAAGAGAUUUCUCCUUGCAAGUAGUGAUAAUAACUGAAUGCUGUAGUACCAGGGUAUUUCUUUUCUAUACAUAUGCACACAGUAAACCAGAAACAAACAAAUGUAUAAAAACAUAACUAUUAUUUCUUCUUGCAAUAAAAGUCUUAAGAAAAUGGGCUAACUCACACCCAAAAGCUAGCUCAAGGAGGGAGGAGUGCCCAAGGCCAUACAAGGGGCACA